GGCGAAACCAUCCCCUCCCUUUUUUUUGUCUCUUUCUAGGCAGGUUCCUCCAGCUCUUUUUUUUUUCACUUUAAAGAACUCAUCUUCUUCGACCUGUAUUAAAUAGCCUUCUUCUACCCUUCCCCAUCCCACGCAGAAACACAACUUAUCUCAGUUUCUUCUUCUGUUCCUUUUUUAUAGCAUUACAUUUUUAAAAAAUGGCUUCUUUUGCUCUUCAUUGUGUUCUGAAACUGUUCCUUUUAGUCUCUGUCUUCAAUGUCUCUUUUGCUGCUAGAAUGCUCAAUGAGCUAGUGCAAGAUCAGCCUCAGCUCUUGAGUUACCACAAUGGUCCUCUUCUUUCUGGUAAAAUCUCCAUCAACCUCAUCUGGUAUGGCAAAUUCAAGCCAUCCCAGAAAGCCAUUAUCUCAGAUUUUAUAACGUCAUUGUCAGCUCCAUCUUCCCAAAAUGACCAGCCCUCUGUUGCUGCCUGGUGGAAAACCACCGAGAAAUACUACCACCUCACGACUUCCAAAAAGUCUACCCUUUCCAUUGCUUUGGGCAGGCAAAUACUAGAUGAGACAUACUCGCUAGGAAAAUCACUCGCAAACAAACAGAUUGUUCAGUUGGCUUCAAAGGGUGAUCAAAUGAAUGCUAUUAAUGUUGUCCUCACAGCUUCUGAUGUUGCCGUUGAAGGGUUUUGCCUCAGUAGAUGUGGGACUCAUGGGUCUGCUUCUGGAUCCCAAACUGGUCACAUCAAGGGCAAGAACUACAAAUUUGCCUAUAUUUGGGUUGGUAAUUCGGAGACUCAAUGCCCUGGUUACUGCGCCUGGCCAUUCCACCAGCCAAUCUACGGACCACAGAGCCCACCACUGGUUGCGCCCAACAACGAUGUAGGUCUUGAUGGCAUGGUAAUCAACUUGGCCAGCCUUUUGGCUGGGACUGCCACAAACCCAUUUGCAAAUGGAUACUUCCAGGGUCCAAAAGAGGCACCACUGGAGGCAGCAUCAGCUUGCACUGGGGUUUAUGGUAAAGGGGCUUAUCCGGGUUAUGCAGGAAACUUAUUGGUGGAUUCUACUACUGGUGCUAGCUACAAUGCGAAUGGAGAUAAUGGUAGGAAGUACUUGCUUCCUGCUUUGUAUGAUCCUUCAACAUCUUCUUGUUCAACUUUGGUCUAAAAAUGUUGACGGUAGCGGCAGUAGGAUUUAUCAUUCUUAGAUUAACAUCAUUAGUGGAAUUAAUGUAUACGCUACACAUAUAUAGAGACUGCGAGAG
rnacentral:misc_RNA from 1 species